CACCAAGGCGACGAUCAGUAGCCGGCCUGAGAGGGUGAACGGCCACACUGGAACUGAGACACGGUCCAGACUCCUACGGGAGGCAGCAGUGGGGAAUAUUGCACAAUGGGGGAAACCCUGAUGCAGCGACGCCGCGUGAGUGAAGAAGGUCUUCGGAUCGUAAAACUCUGUCCUUGGUGACGAAGAAAAUGACGGUAGCCAAGGAGGAAGCCCCGGCUAACUACGUGCCAGCAGCCGCGGUAAUACGUAGGGGGCGAGCGUUGUCCGGAUUUACUGGGCGUAAAGGGUGAGUAGGCGGUUAUAUAUGUCAGGUGUAAAAAGCUAUGGCUUAACCAUAGUAAGCACUUGAAACUGUAUGACUUGAGUGCAGGAGAGGUAAGCGGAAUUCCUAGUGUAGCGGUGAAAUGCGUAGAUAUUAGGAGGAACACCGGUGGCGAAGGCGGCUUACUGGACUGUAACUGACGCUGAGUCACGAAAGCGUGGGUAGCAAACAGGAUUAGAUACCCUGGUAGUCCACGCUGUAAACGAUGAGUGCUAGGUGUUGGGUAGCGAUAUUCAGUGCCGUAGUAAACACAAUAAGCACUCCGCCUGGGGAGUACGUACGCAAGUAUAAAACUCAAAGGAAUUGACGGGGACCCGCACAAGCAGCGGAGCAUGUGGUUUAAUUCGAAGCAACGCGAAGAACCUUACCAAGGCUUGACAUCCCCUUGACAGAUGCAGAGAUGUAUCCUCCCCUUCGGGGGCAAGGGAGACAGGUGGUGCAUGGUUGUCGUCAGCUCGUGUCGUGAGAUGUUGGGUUAAGUCCCGCAACGAGCGCAACCCUUAUCCUUAGUUGCCAGCAUUUAAGGUGGGCACUCUAAGGAGACUGCCGGUGAUAAACCGGAGGAAGGUGGGGAUGACGUCAAAUCAUCAUGCCCCUUAUGUCUUGGGCUACACACGUGCUACAAUGGUCGGUACAACGGGGAGCGAAGGAGCGAUCCCAAGCAAAUCCCAAUAAACCGAUCCCAGUUCGGAUUGCAGGCUGCAACUCGCCUGCAUGAAGUCGGAGUUGCUAGUAAUCGCGAAUCAGAACGUCGCGGUGAAUGCGUUCCCGGGUCUUGUACACACCGCCCGUCACACCAUGGAAGUUGGUAAUACCCGAAGUCGCUGAGCUAACUGUAAAGAGGCAGGCGCCGAAGGUAGGAUCAAUGACUGGGGUGAAGUCGUAACAAGGUAGCCGUAUCGGAAGGUGCGGCUG
rnacentral:rRNA from 1 species